UUCCGGUUGAUCCUGCCGGAGGUUACUGCUAUCGAGGUUCGACUAAGCCAUGCGAGUCGAAUGCCGCAAGGCAUGGCGUACUGCUCAGUAACACGUGGACAACCUACCCUUUGGACGGGGAUAAACCCGGGAAACUGGGUAUAAUACCCGAUAGUCCUCGAAUGCUGGAAUGCACCGAGGACGAAAGCUCCGGUGCCUAAGGAUGGGUCUGCGGCCUAUCAGGUAGUAGUGGGUGUAGCGUACCUACUAGCCUACGACGGGUACGGGUUGUGAGAGCAAGAGCCCGGAGAUGGAUUCUGAGACACGAAUCCAGGCCCUACGGGGUGCAGCAGGCGCGAAAACUUUACAAUGCUGGCAACAGCGAUAAGGGAACCUCGAGUGCCAGGUUACAAAUCUGGCUGUCGAGAUGCCUAAAAAGCAUUUCAUAGCAAGGGCCGGGCAAGACCGGUGCCAGCCGCCGCGGUAACACCGGCGGCUCGAGUGGUAACCGUUAUUAUUGGGUCUAAAGGGUCUGUAGCCGGCUUGGUAAGUCUCUUGGGAAAUCCGGCAGCUUAACUGUCGGGCUGUCAGGAGAUACUGCCAGGCUCGAGGCCGGGAGAGGUGAGAGGUACCUCAUGGGUAGGGGUGAAAUCUUGUAAUCCUUGAGGGACCACCAGUGGCGAAGGCGUCUCACCAGAACGGACCUGGCGGCAAGGGACGAAAGCUAGGGGCACGAACCGGAUUAGAUACCCGGGUAGUCCUAGCCGUAAACGAUACUCGCUAGGUGUCGGCCACGGUGCGACCGUGGUCGGUGCCGUAGGGAAGCCGUGAAGCGAGCCACCUGGGAAGUACGGCCGCAAGGCUGAAACUUAAAGGAAUUGGCGGGGGAGCACUACAACGGGUGGAGCCUGCGGUUUAAAUGGAUUCAACGCCGGG
rnacentral:rRNA from 1 species